AAGAGAUGGGGGGUGGAAGCUGAUGACAGACCCAGCACGUCCUACAAUACUGACAUGGAACAGCUGUCAGGGACAAUUCCAGCAGACGCCCCCAUCCUUGUGACUGGACUGGAAAGCUUCACCUUCCAUAAAAUCCUUGGAGAGGGUGGUUAUGGUAAAGUCAUGCUGGCCACAUAUCCCUCCUGUCAACAACAACUGGCAGUGAAGCUGGUGAAGAAGAGGGUCCUGCUUCAGGACUUUAAAGACAAUGUCCU